ACCUUUUCAACAAGCUAGAGAUAAACCUCCUGUUCCAACUGAAGAUGAACUCCAGUGGUCCAGAGCCACGCUUUGCUGCUUCAGACUCCUCUCGCCAGUCCGCUCUGCCACAAGAGAAGGACCACCGACCACGGACCCAUCAGAACCGAGGUACUCUGGAUCUCAAAUUCUAAUCGGGCCUAAAAUAAUUUCAGCCACAAUAUUCUAUACUGAUCUUAUCAUAGCUCUCACACACACACACACACACACACACACACACACACAGAAAUCAUGCUACUUUUCUUUCUUUCUUUCCUUCUUUCUCUACUAAGCUUUUACCUUUAAAGUGUAAAUACAUUUAUCCUUAGUUUAGUGAGCAUAGCGCUCUUUUAGCUUUAUUGUGUUAGUAGGUUUUAACUUGUUUUGAUUAAUAAAUGUUUGUCUGUGGUUUAUGAAAAUAUUUCAAUCAUAAGGUUUAUUAUGUCUUGACAAGAGUUCACAACCCUGAAUGACAAGGUAUUAAUUACUAAUUAAAUGAUCUGAAACACUUUAACUCAAUUUCAGAUGACACCUCUUGGCAAAUUACUGUAAUAUUAAUAAUAAUUAAUAUUAUAAUUCUCAUCACUCCUUGUCCAAGCUCAUCCUCCUACAGCUGUGAUGUUCUGUGUUCGCUAUAGUCGACUUUGUAAUUUCCUUUUUUGGUGAUAAAGUUGAACUGUUUCAUCCUGUUUGGCCUUGUGUGUGUAGCACAUUAUUUAAAGGGGACGUUAGUUUAGAAUCACUGUAUAAUGUGUUUUUUUAUUUUUUAUAUACUGUAUAUGCAUAAACCCCACCCAUUUAAACUCCUCUAACUCUUUUUAUGACAUCACUGACAUAAGAUGAUAUUUUUGCUCAGUGCACUCACAGAUCAGAGUGUGAGGAAACAUUAGAAACAUUGAUCUACAGCAGAAUGCUUCUCCUGCAGCUCACUCUGCACUUUGUGCUCGUGCUUGGAGCAGGCAGCAGUGACUACAUCUAUAUCUAUCACAGAGCUGGAGAUGACGUCAUCAUGUCCUGUAACAAUGUGAAUUCAUCUGAAACAUCAUGCUCUAGCAUUAAAUGGCUGUACUACAGAGACAGAUCUACUAUUGAUAUCAUUGUUAGUGAUGGACAGAUUCAUGAAGAUUCACCUCAAGCUGCUAAACUGAGUCUGGGCCUUAGAUGUUCUUUGACCAUCACAAACAUCUCCUCUGAGGACGCAGGACGUUACAUCUGUUACUAUGGGAACACAAGUGAUCCUGACACAUAUCUGAACAUAUUAACACUCUCAGCAAAUCAAAGCACCGAUCCAGUGGGAGGAGUCACACUGACGUGCACUCUGUGGAGGUUCACAUACAUCUAUUGUGUAAAAGGCAGCCUGAGAUGGCUGGAUGAGGAGAGAGAUGAACUGAAGCAAGAUGAUGAUGAAGUCUAUUAUAGUAGACAGAAGAAAUGUGUUUCUGAUCUGAUAAUAACACAUCAGAGUAACCACAACAGAAGAUACACCUGCCACUUUGUUAUAAACAAUAAAAUGAAGAUAUCUGCCGACUACACACUUGUGUCUACAGUUGAUUUAACGUCUGAUUCGACUCCAAACAAGAUCAUCUUCAUCAUCAUCAUCGUAGCCUCAGUCGGACUGUUGACCAUCCUGGUCAUAGUUGGUCUGACUGUUUUCAUCAAAUCCAGGAGGAAAACUGGAGCAGCAGAAGAAGGUGUGUGUGUGUGUGUGUGUGUGUGUGUGUGUGUGUGUGUGUGUGUGUGUGUGUGGUGUGUGUGUGUGUGUGUGUGUGUGUGUGUGUGUGUGUGUGUGUGUGUGUGUGUGUGUGUGUGUGUGUGUGCGCGCGCGUGCGUGCGUGCGUGUGCGUGUGUGUAUGUGUGUGUGUGGGGGGGGGUUGAUGGGGGUUCUUUGUUAAUCCCUUAUUGGGUAUUAUUCACGUGUUCAAAUCAAAAUUUCACUUCAUUUGUUUUAUUUUGUAUAUAUUAUUAUUUUUUAAUAAUAAAGGCCAACCCGAAAAAUGCGGGUGAAAAUGAACUUUGGCGGGAAACAUUGUAGCGUACUAGCCAUUUUGGCUGGUGGAGAAUGAAACAAAUACCACUGCGUCUGUUUGAAUCGACAGGCAGCUGGAACGAUGCAACAAGUCAUUGUUGCCAGAUUGGGCUGUUUUCCACCCAUACAUUACAGGGUUUUUGUGUGUUUAAACUUUAAAGGGGACAUAUCAUGCUAAAUCCACUUUUUUAGCCCUUAAAUGCAUUUUGAUGUAUAUGUAGAUUGUUUAGAAGCACAGAAAAGUUCAAAUUAAUCUCUUCAGGUGCUCCGUUGAUAUCUUUAUAUUCUGUUUUGGUCAUAUUUUUCAAUCUGUUUCAAUUUUUCGAUUCUCUAUUACGUUUUUUGAACAAUAACGUCAGCGGAACUGCCAAAUUAGGACAUCGACUCCAGGCCCAACACUUCGAGCAAUCCGCCAUUUUUUUUUUCUCGCUUUUAUUUUGUAGUCCAAGCUCCAGGAUGCAGAAGUUACGAGAGGAGAAAUCAAAU
rnacentral:lncRNA from 1 species